UCCGUAGGUGAACCUGCGGAAGGAUCAUUACCGAGUGCGGGUCCUUUGGGCCCAACCUCCCAUCCGUGUCUAUUGUACCCUGUUGCUUCGGCGGGCCCGCCGCUUGUCGGCCGCCGGGGGGGCGCCUCUGCCCCCCGGGCCCGUGCCCGCCGGAGACCCCAACACGAACACUGUCUGAAAGCGUGCAGUCUGAGUUGAUUGAAUGCAAUCAGUUAAAACUUUCAACAAUGGAUCUCUUGGUUCCGGCAUCGAUGAAGAACGCAGCGAAAUGCGAUAACUAAUGUGAAUUGCAGAAUUCAGUGAAUCAUCGAGUCUUUGAACGCACAUUGCGCCCCCUGGUAUUCCGGGGGGCAUGCCUGUCCGAGCGUCAUUGCUGCCCUCAAGCCCGGCUUGUGUGUUGGGUCGCCGUCCCCCUCUCCGGGGGGACGGGCCCGAAAGGCAGCGGCGGCACCGCGUCCGAUCCUCGAGCGUAUGGGGCUUUGUCACAUGCUCUGUAGGAUUGGCCGGCGCCUGCCGACGUUUUCCAACCAUUCUUUCCAGGUUGACCUCGGAUCAGGUAGGGAUACCCGCUGAACUUAAGCAUAUCAAUAAGCGGAGG
rnacentral:rRNA from 1 species